AAAUGGAUUCGCCCGCUCUCAGCGGUUUUCACCAAGAUUAAGCCAUGCAUGUGUAAGUAUAAACACUUUUGUACUGUGAAACUGCGAAUGGCUCAUUAAAUCAGUU
rnacentral:ncRNA from 1 species